rnacentral:rRNA from 1 species
GAUGAACGCUGGCGGCGUGCCUAAUACAUGCAAGUCGAGCGAACGGACGAGAAGCUUGCUUUUCUGAUGUUAGCGGCGGACGGGUGAGUAACACGUGGAUAACCUACCUAUAAGACUGGGAUAACUUCGGGAAAACGGAGCUAAUACCGGAUAAUAUUUUGAACCGCAUGGAUCAAAAGUGAAAGACGGUCUUGCCGUCACUUAUAGAUGGAUCCGCGCUGCAUUAGCUAGUUGGUAAGGUAACGGCUUACCAAGGCAACGAUGCAUAGCCGACCUGAGAGGGUGAUCAGCCACACUGGAACUGAGACACGGUCCAGACUCCUACGGGAGGCAGCAGUAGGGAAUCUUCCGCAAUGGGCGAAAGCCUGACGGAGCAACGCCGCGUGAGUGAUGAAGGUCUUCGGAUCGUAAAGCUCUGUUAUUAGGGAAGAACAUAUGUGUAAGUAACUGUGCACAUCUUGACGGUACCUAAUCAGAAAGCCACGGCUAACUACGUG